GAUGAACGCUGGCGGCGUGCCUAAUACAUGCAAGUCGAGCGAACGGACGAGAAGCUUGCUUCUCUGAUGUUAGCGGCGGACGGGUGAGUAACACGUGGAUAACCUACCUAUAAGACUGGGAUAACUUCGGGAAACCGGAGCUAAUACCGGAUGAUAUUUUGAACCGCAUGGUUCAAAAGUGAAAGACGGUCUUGCUGUCACUUAUAGAUGGAUCCGCGCUGCAUUAGCUAGUUGGUAAGGUAACGGCUUACCAAGGCAACGAUGCAUAGCCGACCUGAGAGGGUGGUCGGCCACACUGGAACUGAGACACGGUCCAGACUCCUACGGGAGGCAGCAGUAGGGAAUCUUCCGCAAUGGGCGAAAGCCUGACGGAGCAACGCCGCGUGAGUGAUGAAGGUCUUCGGAUUGUAAAACUCUGUUAUUAGGGAAGAACAUAUGUGUAAGUAACUGUGCACAUCUUGACGGUACCUAAUCAGAAAGCCACGGCUAACUACGUG
rnacentral:rRNA from 1 species